rnacentral:rRNA from 1 species
GUGCCAGCAGCCGCGGUAAGACAGAGGUGGCAAGCGUUGUUCGGAAUUACUGGGCUUAAAGGGCGCGUAGGUGGUGGCGUAAGUCCGGGGUGGAAGUCUGAGGCUUAACCUCAGGAUUGCCCCGGAAACUGCAUCACUUGAGUCAGCGAGGGGAUGGCGGAAUUCCCGGUGUAGCGGUGAAAUGCGUAGAUAUCGGGAGGAAGGCCGGUGGCGAAGGCGGCCAUCUGGCGCUGAACUGACACUGAGGCGCGAAAGCGUGGGGAGCAAACAGGAUUAGAAACCCGCGUAGUCC